UCUCUCCUCCCUCUCUCUCUUCUGUGUCCCAGGGUCAGUUUAACUUUGUUGAGGUGAUCAUUAAGCCUCUGGACUAUGGAAGUAACCUGGUCACCCUGCAGUGCAAGAAAGACCUGGAGGGUCUAGUUGAUACCAGUGUAGUGAAGAUAGUCUCAGACCAGAACCUUCCAUUGCUGGUACGACAGAUGGCCCUACACGCUAACAUGGCAUCUCUGGUCCACCAGUACAGAGCAAACCCUUCUGAUGCUUACGCCUCCAAGUGGCUGGCCAGACUACGACACAUCAAGAGACUCAGGACAAGGGUGAGAAGACACACACACACAC